rnacentral:tRNA from 1 species
CUCCAUAGCUCAGUUGGUUAGAGCACCUGACUCAUAAUCAGGGGGUCCAUGGUUCGAGCCCAUGUGGGACCA